rnacentral:lncRNA from 13 species
GGGAUAUUAAACUACUCUAACUUUUUUGAGUUGAGCUGGAAUGGCUAGAUAGAAUAAGACUGAAAAAGAAAGCUUGGAAGUUUGUCCUGUGAAGCCAUUAGAACCUCCUGGCAGAUGACAAAAUAUAUUUGGAUACGGAUGUCUCCAGGACGUUAGUGCCAAGGCUCCAGAGAACGCGCGACUGCAUCAGCUUGAAUGCCUGCUUCUGACUCCUCUGGACACCGUCAGAGAUCUUAGAACUCAUCUCUUUAACAUGGGAUCCAUGCCCAGGACCAGAUCCCUGACUUCUCUAUAAACUACCAGUGCUGUGACACUGCAGCAACCCUCAGCUAACAGAAGCAUGAAAGGGCUCAAGCAGAACCAAACCCAGAUUUGGGAUUUCUGCUUUUGCAUCUUCCUCAUUCUCUCUUCGCCUGCUGCCAUCCAUGUAAGACAUGAUUGUGAGACUUCCCCAGCCACAUGGACCUGGACAUGGAUGAACCUGGAAACCAUCAUUCUCAGCAAACUGACACAAGAACAGAAAAUCAAACACCACCUUCUCACUCAUAGCUUUAACUGUGCCAUUUACUUACCCAGAUUCAGUCUGACACAGAUGUUUUCAACAGUGCUUUGUGCCUUAUUUACUUUAUUCAGUAGAGAAUUCACAGGAAAAUGUAGCUUCCUGUAGCUUCUGGAAACCAGUAUGGAAACAUGGAAGCUAAAGCAAGUAUUUCUUUAACUGCUGAACACCCAAAACCACAUUAUGUCAAGAGGAUGGUUUUCCUAAUCAUCAUCCAAUAUGAAAAUAACAUUACCGUAACACAACCCACAUAGGUGGGUGUGUGCUGCUUCUGGCUACAGAUUUCUACGUGGAGAUGCCAUGGAGGCCGAUCUACAAAAUGCAGAUGUGUCAACAGAAGGCAUAAAUGAUGGAUACAAAUGACUCUUCAAUGGAAAUUUUAUGUCAUAAAAAUGGCAAAAAUGAAAGUGAUGCAUCAGGGUAUAAGCUGAAAGCACAAUAGAAGAUGCCAAGCCAAAACAAGAACCAGAAGAUGUCGAGGGAAUGAUUCCAAAGAACUUGCCAUGGGUUUCAAUAGAGAAUCCUGGUGAUGACUGAUUUUGUUUGUAUCAUCAAGGCUUCCCAGUAAAUUCACAUUACAUAUAUAUUUUAUUAUUUCUUAAUGAUUUUUGCCAUUCUUUAAAAAAAGAGAAUGCAUUGCAAAACCUAAUUUAGGACAUAAAAGUUAAUAAAUUGUUUGUUUAAAUUCA